rnacentral:misc_RNA from 1 species
UCGUAACAAGGUCUCCGUUGGUGAACCAGCGGAGGGAUCAUUACCGAGUUUACAACUCCCAAACCCAUGUGAACAUACCUUUACGUUGCUUCGGCGGAGCCGCCCCGGCGCCCGGAACCUCUUCGGUUUCGCGGCCCGGAACCAGGCGCCCGCCGGAGGCCACAAACUCUUUUGUUUUUACAGUUUCUUCUGAGUGUGCCGCAAGGCAAAAUACAAAUGAAUCAAAACUUUCAACAACGGAUCUCUUGGUUCUGGCAUCGAUGAAGAACGCAGCGAAAUGCGAUAAGUAAUGUGAAUUGCAGAAUUCAGUGAAUCAUCGAAUCUUUGAACGCACAUUGCGCCCGCCAGAAUUCUGGCGGGCAUGCCUGUUCGAGCGUCAUUUCAACCCUCGAGCUCCCCUCUUUUUGGGAGAGCCCGGCGUUGGGGACCCGGCGCUAACACCGCCGGCCCCGAAAUGGAGUGGCGGCCCGUCCGCGGCGACCUCUGCGUAGUAAUAUCCACUCGCACCGGGACCCGGGCGCGGCCACGCCGUUAAACACCCCACCUUCCGAAUGUUGACCUCGAAUCAGGUAGGAAUACCCGCUGAACCUAAGCAUAUC